GACGAACGCUGGCGGCGUGCUUAACACAUGCAAGUCGAACGGAAAGGCCCUGCUUUUGUGGGGUGCUCGAGUGGCGAACGGGUGAGUAACACGUGAGUAACCUGCCCUUGACUUUGGGAUAACUUCAGGAAACUGGGGCUAAUACCGGAUAGGAGCUCCUGCUGCAUGGUGGGGGUUGGAAAGUUUCGGCGGUGUGGGAUGGACUGGCGGCUUAUCAGCUUGUUGGUGGGGUAGUGGCUUACCAAGGCUUUGACGGGUAGCCGGCCUGAGAGGGUGACCGGGCGCAUUGGAACUGAGAUACGGCCCAGACUCCUACGGGAGGCAGCAGUGGGGAAUAUUGCACAAUGGGCGGAAGCCUGAUGCAGAAACGCCGCGUGCGGGAUGACGGCCUUCGGGUUGUAAACCGCUUUCGCCUGUGACGAAGCGUGAGUGACGGUAAUGAGUAAAGAAGCACCGGCUAACUACGUG
rnacentral:rRNA from 1 species